GAGAUGCCCAGCUGGCAGGAAGCACCCUGGCCUCAGAUAUGUCAGCGCGGCCGUCUUAGACCCUUCCGCCCCGGGCCAGCUGCCAGCUAACUGCAGCUGUGUGAGUGGAUCCAGAUCACCUACUCUGGUGGAAAGCCAGCUGUCAUGUCAAGGGACAUUCAUGCAGCUUUCAGAUGACUGCAGUCACAUGAGACUCUGAAUUGGAACCACCCAGCUAAAAUACUUCCAGAUUCCUACCCAUCAGAAACUGUGUUUAAUAAUAAAUAUCUAUGGUUUAA